UCCCGUCAUAUGUUUCAUUUCGCGUGGCUUCGGACUGAGGCUGGAUGCUUAAAUGUACGUGUCUCCUCUUGAAAUUCAGGAUGGAUGCUUAAACAGCCGCCUCUCUUCUUGAAAUUCACCACCGAUUCCGUGUUUUUUGAGUUGCAUCUUUGAAUUCAAUCAAUGCAGAGUUGUCACAGUUUUAAAGGAGGAGCAUGGCUUGGCUUUGCUAACACGUUUUCAUUCCGUUAGUCUAAUACACCCAUUUUGUACUAAAGGUGAUAAGUAAAGAAAGUAGUUCUAUAUAAUCUUUUUCCCUAUCUAGAUCUCGGAGAUUCUUGAAGGUCUUCGGGAUGUACCUGAUGUACUGUGGUGGCUGCAGAAUCAUUCAGUGACAGAGAGGAAUGCUAUUGUUGUUCUGUUAGUUAAAUACAAGAUUUCCAGUAUUAA